AAGGCCAGAAAGCCUGACUCAAACAUAAAAUGACAACUCAGCUGUACUGAGUUGACUUGUGUCCCCCUCAAAAGAUAUGUCCGUGUUCUAACUCCUGGUGCUUGUAUGAUUUUAUCUGGAAACAGGGUCAUUGCAAAUGUGAUCAGGUGAAGAGGAAGUCAUCCUAGAUUAUGGAGGGGCCCCAAUCCAAUGAUAGUGUACCUUCAUAAGAAGAGAGAAUUUGGAUACGUCGACUAGGAGACAGACACAGGGGAAAACAACAUAUGAAGACGGAUGCGUAGAUGGAGGUGAUGUGUCUACAGCCAAGGAACCUGAGGGUCACCAGAGCCACCAGCAGCCGGGAGAGAGAGGUGGAUUAGAGUCUCCCUCAGACCCUCAGAAGGGAUCGACCCUGCGGACCGCUUGAGCUGAGACUUGGAUUUCCAGAACUGAGAGAUGGUAACUGCCUGUUGUUCAGGCUGCCUGGUUUGUGGUGCUGUGUUACAGCAGCCGCAAGAAACCUAUACAUCAGGCCGUUCAGAGCUUCUGGUGGGCAGGCGUUCUCUGCCUCUGAUUGGCAUGCAACGGCAAGGGAGGUCAUCACUGAUUAAUGCUUGCAACACAGUGUGAUCUGUGAAACCUUUUCCUAAGGUGGUGGGGGCGGUCCUUGGAGAAAGAAUACUAAAGGGGUCCAGGGUGGAGAAAAGGAGGGACCCAUAACAUAUGGUCCUGGAAAAGCACUGCCAGAGCCCCAAACUUACUGCUCCUGGGGGCCUGGGUAUUGGAGAGAAAAUCCCCCUGGUACUGAAGGGCAUCCAGGAAACAACACUUUCUUGUGGCCUGGGGGGGGGAGGGUGCACAGGAAGGAUCCAGGGGCUCUGGAGUCUGACACUUUCUCCUGUCCCUGAUACGUAAACUGGGGUUCCUGCUGCCCAGUCCCUAGAAAGGCAAGGGGUAAAGGGAGAACACUGGGUAGAGGGGGAGGGGCACAAGGAAGCCCUGUCCCCACCCCACCCUCCGGGUGACUGGUGGCACUGGCUGGACCUAUGGUGGUUUUUCCUGUCCUGAAUGACUGUGGCCAGACUCUGGCCCCACUCUACAGAUGCAGAAACUGAGGCCGAGCUCUCACCAUUGCUCUGGAGGCAUGGGAAUCACCACAGAACCAGGGAACCAAGAUUCAGUCUUGUACUGUUGGCCACCGACCGAAUGGCCUGAAAUAGGGCACUAGUGGUCCAAGAAGUCAAAGAGGUCUCAGUCGGCCGUGCUGGCCCCUGACCAGGGCACCCAGGAACACACUCCAGUGACUCAGCAGUGACUCAGGAGGAGGCAGCAGAUGCGGAAACCGCUAGUCCUCUGCCAGCUAGGGAAGCAGCCCCGGGUGGUGAUAAGCAGCUGGGGCAUCCGAGCCCCUCUAUCCGGGAGGACCCAGAGCCGGGAACCCAGAAGGCCUCCGCACAGCCGUUCUGUGAAGGCAGGAAGGACAGCCUGGCGGUCCCCAGCUGGGCAGCCCUGAGCCACGAGCCCCCGGAGCAACCCGCCCCACCAGGUGCCCACAUCACAGAGGGGGUGGGAGGGGGUGCUUCGAGGCUCAGAAAUGAGGACACUUGUUCCUAAUCCACACAGUCAGACGGCAGACAUAUGGGCCUCGGUUUCCUGUAUGUGAAAUGGGGCUAAAACCAGCCCCACGACCUGGGGAGGUUGCGUGGUGGAGGCCACGCGUGGAAAGCGCAGCGUGAGUCCAUCUUCCGGGCGCGCUCCAUUCACGCUCCGCCCCCGCUCCACGCUCCGCCCCCGCUCCACGCUCCGCCCCCCGCGCCGGGCGCGCUCCGUUCACGCUGUGUGCGUGGAAGCCAUUGUCGGGCUUACCCACGACUGCUCCGCCUCGAAGGCCGGUUUUUUUUCUAUCCUGUGUUUCUGAGUCAGGUUUUGCACGCGGUCUCCGAUGCUCUGUGAGCCUCAGCCUCUCACGGUGAGAAGUCUAUGAAAUGACGGGACGCAGUCGCACCGACAGCCAGGAGGCGGGAACCGCCCGAGGGUCCUUCAGUGGCUGAACGACAGGUGGUACGGCCACGCCAGGGGCGUUAGCCAGCCGCGGAAAGGAACGCAGCCCCGGCUCACGCUGCCACGUGGAUGGACGUCGAAAACGUGACACCGAGUGACGGAAGCCAGACACAAAGGGCCACAUCUCAUGUGCUACCGUUUAUUAGACCCACAAGUAGGACGACGCAUAUCUUUACUGCGUUAAGAUUAUACCUUAAUCGUGAGAUGGACGUGUACCUAGUACGUAGGCACCAGACGUUACAUCCACCUGGAGCCUGCCUGGCCCGAUGCGCCCCGCGACGGACAGUAAGGUGCAAGGUUAACUCCGCUCAGCCAAACCAGGGGACAGCUCUCACCGUUUUACCAGACCAGGCAGCAGACGCGGGCCCUUCUGACCCACUCCAAACAAGCGGACUGAGUACUGACCACAGGAGUGAAAUCAAAUCUGCAAACCCACGACAGGUAUGAGGAAGUAUUAAUCUCCCCAACUUUCUGAUGAUAAACAGAGUUUUCCGACUCAAGUAUUCAGGCCGCCUGGUUUCUGGAAGGCCCUAGGACGACUCAGAUAUUCAGGCCGCCUGGGUUUCUGGAAGGCCCUAGGACCACCUGCCUCCAUCCCUGGUGACACAAGGAGUCCAAAACCGUGGGCCGUGUGACCGUGGCUUUGCCACCUGUGACACCAGGGACAGGAACGACACGACCCGUGGGUCUCGUCCAGACCUGCACGGAGUCUGCUCAUUCCCGUCUGCAUCGCGUGCCAUGCGGGGGACAGCCACCAUGCAUGUGCUGAGAGCAUUCUGUGAGCAAAGGGCUCAUCUGCGUCCCCACUUUACAGGGCGCCGGCUCCUGGCGCUCGGGCGGGUCCUCAAGGACGGGCAGCUGAGAGGCGCACCACUCACUUU